UACGGAAGGCAGCAGGUGGGGAAUAUUGCACAAUGGGCGCAAGCCUGAUGCAGCCAUGCCGCGUGUAUGAAGAAGGCCUUCGGGUUGUAAAGUACUUUCAGUCGUGAGGAAGGUGUUAAGGUUAAUAACCUUAGCAAUUGACGUUAGCGACAGAAGAAGCACCGGCUAACUCCGUGCCAGCAGCCGCGGUAAUACGGAGGGUGCGAGCGUUAAUCGGAAUUACUGGGCGUAAAGGGCACGCAGGCGGUUAAUUAAGUUGGAUGUGAAAUCCCCGGGCUUAACCUGGGAAUGGCAUUCAAGACUGGUUAGCUAGAGUCUUGUAGAGGGGGUAGAAUUCCAUGUGUAGCGGUGAAAUGCGUAGAGAUGUGGAGGAAUACCGGUGGCGAAGGCGGCCCCUGGGACAAAGACUGACGCUCAUGUGCGAAAGCGUGGGGAGCAAACAGGGAUUAGAUACC
rnacentral:rRNA from 1 species